CUUUAAUUGAAUUUCGGGGGGGGGUCUUUUGUCCAGCAGAAAUCUCAGGAACUACAAAUGAUAUCAGCAAGAAAAUUGGAGAAAAUGUAGGUAAGGUAUUGUAGUUGUGCAGGAAGUUAAAAUUAUUGGCUAAACUUUUUAACUUCAGAAGCUAUGUGAUGGCAAAUUUUGAGAAUUUUUUUCCCAUAGGAUUUUGUUGCUUUUUGUGUAAUAUCUUUUAAGCUGGUAUUAAUUUGGUAAGACAUAUAGAACAAAAGUUGUGUGUAAUUACAAGAGCUUUCGAAUGAAAUCAAGAAAAAGGGGCUGGCCCCUAUAUUUAGGGGUCAGCAGCUCAUAAACGUGUUUUUUUAAUACUUAAAAAUGUUGACAUAUAUUGAAAAAGUUUGAAUGAAAUAAUCUUUAGGAUAUUAAAUCUUGUCAUUUGGUAUGAUAAGAAACAAGCUUUGUGCUAUAUUUAUUUCUAUUUCAUAAAAGAAAUGUGUGAGAAUCGUACAGGAACAAGUUGUCUGUACAAGCCCGCCAAGCUGUUUCGGGGCCUCAUGCUUGUGUAGUGCUUAGAUAGUUGAUUUAGAUACAUUGUUUUGAUUCGACUUCUCUUUUUUAAUUUAUUUAAAUAAUUAACAAACUGCAAUGUUUUUACACGAUGAACUGUUAAACAUCAUGUAUGUAUGUAUGUUAUCAGUGCAGAGCAAGUCUUUACGGGGCCUCCUGGAUGUAAACAUUCACGAGAGGCAUUGUGGGAAGGCCAGAGAAUGGCGAAAUCAAAUUGUGAUGUGUACAUUUUAUCACCGUAUGUAGACAUGUAUAUUCAUUGUACAGCUACGAGCACAUGAACUGCCCUCGAUUACGCAUUUGGAGCAUUAGUCAAUACUAACGAAGGAUAUAUUGUUGUCUGAAUCGUUUACCAUGUUUCGACUACGAGAAAAUUCUGACGGUCAUAUUUGCAAUGGAUUGAUAAACACAUAAAGAUACAGUGCAGAUAUAUUUAUAAACUGUCCCCAGUGAUAUUGUAACUAGUAAGGAAAAGUUAAUGGUGACACUUUAAUGUGUGAUGGAAUUGGACGUUGCUAAAAAGGUGCGCAUGAUGCAACUUCUGGAUGGUGUGUAGUCUGUUUGUCAACAUGUGAAACCCACGUGUAUUUUGAGGAGUAGCCUCCCCUGUUAAAGAUCAAUAAUGGUGGAUAAACAAUGCAGGAUGCUGUCAUGUCAUCAACAGAGAGUUUUGACACCCGUAUACCCGUAUUUCUACCAAUCACCUCUGUAACCUUUGUUGUGUUCAUCAGACAGGUAAGAAAUACAUGAUAAUUAUUUUAAAUAACUUUAUUAAAAUGAAUAAUAAAA